GCUAGGUGUCAUGGCUCACACCUGUAAUCUCAACACUGGGAGGGUGAGGCAGGAGGAUCACUUGAGGCCAGGAGUUCAAGGUCGGCUGUGCAACAUGACGAGAUCCUGUCUUUAAAAAAAAAAAAAUUAGCCAGGCGUGGUGGUGUAUGCAUAUAGUUCUAGCUACUUGGGAGGGUGAGGCGGGAGAAUCGCUUGAACCCAGGAGUUCAAGGCUGCAGUGAGCUAUGAUCAUACCACUGCUCUCCAGCCUGGGCAACAGAGUGAGACCUUGUCUCU
rnacentral:sRNA from 1 species